CCUACGGGGGGCAGCAGUGGGGAAUAUUGCACAAUGGGGGAAACCCUGAUGCAGCGACGCCGCGUGAGUGAAGAAGUAUUUCGGUACGUAAAGCUCUAUCAGCAGGGAAGAAAAUGACGGUACCUGACUAAGAAGCCCCGGCGAACUACGUGCCAGCAGCCGCGGUAAUACGUAGGGGGCAAGCGUUAUCCGGAUUUACUGGGUGUAAAGGGAGCGUAGACGGCAGCGCAAGACUGUUGUGAAAUCCAAUGGCUUACCCAUGGAACUGCGUUGGAAACUGGGCAGCUAGAGUGCAGGAUAGGUAAGCGGAAUUCCUAGUGUAGCGGUGAAAUGCGUAGAUAUUAGGAGGAACACCAGUGGCGCCGGCGGCUUACUGGACUGUAACUGACGUUGAUGCUCGAACGCGUGGGGAGCAAACAGGAUUAGAUACCCGAGUAGUC
rnacentral:rRNA from 1 species